rnacentral:rRNA from 1 species
UGACCUCGGAUCAGGCAGGGAUACCCGCUGA